AUGUGAUCCAGUUGUUGCUUUAGAAAGGUCACUUUUCAUGGCUGAAUGUAGGAUAAAUUACAGGAGGGUGAGUGCAGGGAGAGAGGAAUAUGGAGUCUAAUGCACUAGGUAGUCCAGGGGAGGGAUGUGGCUGGCAUGAACAAGGGCAGUGACAGGGGUGAUGGAGAGUAGGGAUAUGGAUUUGAGGACUUUCCAUUAACAGGACUUGGGGAUCAAAGUGCAUGAAGAGGAAGAAGAAGAGGAACUAUGAGCCAUGAGAAAAUAUGGUGACAGCUGACAUCACCUCCUCCAAUCCCUCCAAUUCAUUUCCUCCCACCUUUUAUCCUAGAAAGAACAUACAGGAGAGAAAGAGACAAUAGCUAUGACUUGAAGAAGAAGCCAUAUGAAAACCAAAAAUGGUCAACUGUCAGCACCUAAUGGAACUCUGAAAAAAAAUCUUGGGAAUUAUUUCGAGGAAAGAUAUGUUUUAGACAUUUCAGAAGAGUACAUCUUUGAUCUAAAUUGUCAGAUUAACUUCCAGAGAGCUGAUAAAUGAAAACCUUAAAAAAAAAAAAAAGAAAUCCUAUACCCGUUGAGGGUGAUGCUCUGUAGGUGCGUUGAGUCCUAGUCUCUGCUCUGCCAUCGGGACCAUCGAGGCUGGGAGAGGAAGGGAAAGGCUGGAGUAUUUGCAGAAGAUUCUGCGAUUCCAGAUAAUAAAAGAUAUAUGUCCCGGCUCCUGAAUAUAACAGGCAGCAUUGUCAGACCUGAGGCACACGGCUGCAGGGCUUUUUCUGAGAUCUGUAACCAGAAGGUGUUUGCGUGCCCAUGCCAAUGGUCUUUCUGAAGUCAUGGAGUGAAAAGAGAAUUUUCCCCAGAGGGCAGAAGAGUCUGUAUGUUGGAGCCAACCAGACGUUUCCCAGGCUCCGGUGUCGUCCUGUUCGCCAGCAAUGAGCAGAUGUUAGCUUCUUCUGAUGCACAAGGAAGAAGAGUGCAAUGCGCUCACCAUCCUGAUGUCAUCUCCGAUUGUUAUUUUUACUGUUCUUCUAAAUAAUAGGGUUUCUGGCAUGAAGACUUAUCUCAGGAUUCAGCCCAGCAGUGUUCUGAGAUCCCGGGCCCCGACGCUGAUAGAUUUAUGCAGGUUGUGAUUCUCUGACUAAUUUGCUUUGAAUGAAGUGAACACUUGGAAAAACCAAAAUGUUAUUUCCAAGAUUUUACAUCCUAACGGGAAAUACAACAGGAAAUAGAGAAAAAAAAUUAUUUUUCACUUCUGACUGUCAAAAUGGACUUUUUGUUUGUCGUUUAAAUUAAUUGGAAAAAAAAAAAAGAUAACCCAGUUAUACUUCUUCCUUCUUUACACAAAAAUUGCAAGACCUUGCGAUACUGUUUCUUCCCCUUUUGCUCACAUAAGUGAUUUUAAACAUUCUCCAUGUGGCUGGAAACGGAAUGAUUUCAUGGCUUCCCUGUUGUGCUAUGUGAAUGUGUAGGUUAGUGCUGUUGCUCUGCACGUCUCUGCACACUUCUAUUAAGGAGCCCAGAACUGAACCUCUUUCCAAGGAGGUCACAACAGGGGAGGUCACCUGGAAACCCAGGACCAGAGGCAAAUGCCAUUCCUGACUGUCUCCUCCUUUACUCCUGCGUGGCAAUGCCCGUCCCCCGAGGAGGAAUGGUGAUCCUGACUUCACAGAUGAGGAAACUUUGGUGGGGGUGGCUGGGUAACCUGUCUAAAGGAACAGAACCAGUAAGUGAGGAACCCCCGUCUGACCACUUGCUGGAAUCAUUCAUUGCUUCGAGUACUGCAUUACAGCCCCGUGAGAGGUGGUGGGGGGAGUUCUGAGGACCAGAAGUUAGUGUUGGUCUGGACAUUUGGAUGAGAUGAGGUAAAACCUGUGGGAGGCUUUGGAUGAGUUUCUGCAAUAAAAUUAUCUUUUUCUGAUUCUUCAGCCCAAAAAGUUUCUCAAAUAGACCCAACUCCAAGGGGCUUGCCCUCCCUUCCCUGGCUCUGUCAGGGAUGGCCCUCUGUAGGGUCUCAGUGGGGAGCAGCUCCCUGCAGUUCCCCCACCAGGGGAAGGAUGAGGGGAAGGACGAGGCUGCCCGGCUGCCGCUGACCGAGACCCAGCAGUCCAUAUAUUCCCCACCACCUGCAGGCUUCCCUUUCUUCACUUCAGCCAGUUUUCUUCUAACUCUGGGUGUUGGCGAAAAGGAAGAAGAAGACGUGAUUGAAAACUGGGUCACACGUCCCAUCAGCAUGCCGGAAGCACUCACAGGCACUCAGUAUGAUCUUUAAGAACUUCAGUAGAUCUGUACUUGGAAAUGAUCCUUUAGUUAUUCUGUUCCCUUAAAAAAUAGGAUUGUUUGCAUGAGCAAGUCACACAAACUCUCCAGGCCUCACAGUCACCUAAACAUUGAAAUGGAGAGGGUGACUAACAUAAAAUUUUUAAAAUGAGGGUAUGCACAAUCCAAGGUACAUAUAUAUUAAGGCCAGAACAUAGAAACAAGUUGAUGGUGCCGACCAAAAGCUCUUCAAGGGCAGGGACCACCUCUCUAAUUUCGUUUGAUUCCUCUAAUGCUUGGUGCUUAGCGCCGAGCAGGUGUCCCUAAGCCUUCUUGGCUGUCGAGCCAAGUGCUAAGAUGCAGAAGCUUUAUUUGUCCACACCAAUCUGUGCUGGGGGCCUUCCCUGCCAAAAGGGGCCAGUGAAUUAAAGAUUCCAUAAUUAGACACCGUGCUGCCCCGGGCACUCUGUCCCUGCUCGUCAGUGUCCCCGCGAUGGUGCGUGACAGUUGCCGGUCUCUCUGGGCCACCUGUUCAGCUGUUAGGAAUGUUAAUUUUACUUUAUUUUUAUUCUUGACAGAGGAAGACACAUUAUUCAAGCCCAUUGAAGAAGGGCUGCCACUUAAAACUCAAGAGAGGGAUUAUUCCCCCCUUCAACUGCAAGUCAUGGGCGGGACAGUGUAAAUGACAAAACUGAGAAAAGGCCAGUCUGCCUGUGAAAAUCAAAUACAGGCAGUGUCAAUAGUCUGAAAAGGGACUAUAUGCUUGGUUCCUUUAUUGGGUACUUAGUAUUAGUGUCCCAAAUCUUGUGUAGGACAUGUUAUUAUCCCACUAUCUCUUCACUAAACUCCCACGACAAAGCCAGUACAUUUUAGAAAUGAGAAAGUAGGUUCAGAGAGAUAAAACAGCUUGCCCAAGGUCAAGGAAAUGGUAACUGGUGAGCAGUAGUCUCUCUGAUCCCUUUAAUUACUAUCCUCUCCUCUCUCCCGCAGCCCCUCCCAUUUAAAAAAAAGAUUUUUUAUUGAUUUUUACUGAGAGAGAAAGGGAGAGGGAGAGAGAGAAACAUCAAUCCGCUGCCCCUAUCCCCACCCCCUGUCACCCCUACCAGGGAUCCAGCCUGCAACACCGGGCUUGAACCAGAAACUCCCAACCAACUGAGCCACACCUCCCGUUCUGUAUGUAGGGAGGGAGCAGGCUUUGGUGUGUUUCUCCUGCUUUCUCCUGGUCUACAGUUUGUGCUGAACAGAUAGGUUAGUAGUUUUCUGAAAAACAUAUUCUGAUUGUUUUGUUUGUAGGGUUCUAGAACAGCCGUGGGCAAACUACGGCCCGC